rnacentral:rRNA from 1 species
UCCUACGGGAGGCAGCAGUGGGGAAUUUUCCGCAAUGGGCGAAAGCCUGACGGAGCAAGACCGCGUGGGGGAAGAAGGCUCUUGGGUUGUAAACCCCUUUUCUCUGGGAAGAAAGUUGUGAAAGCAACCUGACGGUACCAGAGGAAUCAGCAUCGGCUAACUCCGUGCCAGCAGCCGCGGUAAGACGGAGGAUGCAAGCGUUAUCCGGAAUGAUUGGGCGUAAAGCGUCCGCAGGUGGCAGUUCAAGUCUGCUGUCAAAGACCGGGGCUUAACUUCGGAAAGGCAGUGGAAACUGAACAGCUAGAGUAUGGUAGGGGCAGAGGGAAUUCCUGGUGUAGCGGUGAAAUGCGUAGAGAUCAGGAAGAACAUCGGUGGCGAAGGCGCUCUGCUGGACCAUAACUGACACUCAGGGACGAAAGCUAGGGGAGCGAAUGGGAUUAGAUACCCCGGUAGG